AUUAUGGAUUCACUCGUUGGACAGGAAGAGAAAAGCACAGCAGCUUUGAAGUCCCAGAUUGAAAAGCUACAGCAGGAGAGAAAUGAAUUUCAAAGGAUGGUGAUCGGUAACCAGGUGGAUGCAAAUGAAGCGAAAAACUAAGAAAUAGUGGCUGAGAACACUAGCCUAAGAGCAUCACUUCGAUUCAUGCAGAUAUGCGUGAUUUUUUUUAAAUGCUCCAAACGGUUCAGCUAAUCCUUCAUUGGCUGGCAAUGAGAAACGUGAGGCUGAUCCUUCACAAUAUCCACUGGGUGAAAAGACGGAUGUCUUUGAUCUACCUUUCCGGAUGGCUAGAGGUCAAAUAGUAGAGAGUUUGCGCGCUAAGAUGGCUUUCAUAAAGGGAACACAUGGUUCAGUUACAAGAUGUACCUAAAGGAAUAUCUGUCAUUUCUGAAGCCACAGAGAGAGAGAGAGAGAGAGAGCUCGAACGUGAAGCUCAGCUUGUCGA